UUUCUCUCAACUCAUUUAGUUUCCUCGAUGCAAUGCUCUCGUUCUUAUUAACCAUAAUCUUGCUUCAAACACUAUUGAAAUCAUCUUCCAUUGCCAAUUUUCUCACACGUUUGGUAAUUAAUUUCUAAUACUCAAAGCUAUUAUCACUCCCCAGUAGCGGCGCCAAAAUGUGAUUGCUUGUUUUACUUAUUCCGGAAGAAACUUCCCAGAAUAAAUCCGUAUAAGAGAAUUCGAACAUGGGGAAUGACUAGUUGCUUAAGCGUUCACGUUAGGAUCACACAAUCAAUUACCUCCUGAAUGUAUCGUCUCUAUUUCCAAUAUCUGAACAUACAAGGAAACUAUAAUCUCCUCUUUCACCUUAUCAGUCUCUUCUUUAUAGCAAUUUAGUCAUACCAAUAGCUGCUAUUUCUAUUAAUAUAUUUAUCCUCAUAAUCUCCAUUUGUAAUACUACGCCCUCACAACUUUCAGCACACAGUUACCCUCGUUCUAAUCACUGGAAUUCUUCAUACAAAACUGCCAUUCACAUUACAGUAUUUCACACAAACACAGACUCAUUCUCUCUGUUGAACUACAAUCAAAUUUUAGCAUUCAAUCUUUCUUCUUCUCAAAUAAUACCAAUCACAUUUCCAUUCCAUAAUUCACUUCACAAUAUUCAAAAACUCUCAAUCCUCUUAUUCAAAGAAAAUAACAAAUAAAAGAAAAGAGGUAGCACCAAGCUUAUCCC
rnacentral:lncRNA from 1 species